CCAUAUUUCACCUCCCUCCCUCUUUUUGAUUGAAAUUGAACAAUCACAUCUCGAAGGCUCUCCCUGUUCUUCUUUGUUGUACGGUAAAAUCCUCCAAACACUCCAGCAUCUCGUACCUUCAGGGUUUCUUCAAGUGGACUUUCAUAUUCUCAUACAUAGCUCACAAUAUCUCAACACACUUUGAAAUUAUUAUUCACAACGCAAGCAAAUCUUCAACCGGACAAGGUUUUACCAUUGACGGGGAAGGCAUCAGAGAUCAGGAUUCACUCCUCCUGUUUUGGGCGCGCGCACUUAGUUGCAUAGAGUGAUCAAGUUGUCCUUUCGAGUGAGCACUUCUCAACUUCACUGGGGUUUGCUUAAGGAAGAAGAUUUGCAACGUAUCUAAAUAGAUCGCAGGACUUUAAAAGUUGCAAUGGCAUCACUCGACAAUUAUGUAAAGUGGUCCCUGCAUUGCCGAAAAUGGCAAGGAGACUUUCAAAUGAAGUGUGCGCUUAAAUACUAUAUGAAGCGACUGUGUAUUGGUGAGCUUUGACAAACCAUGUCAGGGAGGAUCCUCAAUUUCAAAUCUAAUGUCAUUCUCAACACUUAAGC